CAGUCGCCACGGUAAAACGGAGGGGGCUAGCGUUGUUCGGAAUUACUGGGCGUAAAGCGCACGUAGGCGGCUUUGUAAGUUAGAGGUGAAAGCCCGGAGCUCAACUCCGGAAUUGCCUUUAAGACUGCAGAGCUAGCAGGUGAGAGAGGUGAGUGGAAUUCCGAGUGUAGAGGUGAAAUUCGUAGAUAUGUGGAGGAAUACCGAUGGCGAAGGCAGCCCCCUGGGCCAAUACUGACGCUCAUGCACGAAAGCGUGGGGAGCGAACAGGAUUAGAUACCCCUGUAGUCCCUGUCUCUUAUAA
rnacentral:rRNA from 1 species